CCUUUCUACGGAGUACAAAAACACUUUUAAGUGUUAUUAACGACUUUUACUGACUAUUAUUUUUAAAUCUGUGUUAUGUUGCUAUUGUUAAAUAGUCCGAUAGUGUAUAUCUAGUUUUGAGAGAACAAUCUCUCAAAAUGUUCUUUGAAAACUGAAUAGUAUAUUAAAUAAAAUUAAUAUAACAACGACAUCAAUUAAAACAAAUGUCUAUUUGUUUUGAUACCGAGUUAAUUAUUAAUGAAAAUUAAUAAAUAAUUUAUUAAAAUGUCUUGAAUAAACAUCAACAAUAGGAAAAUAUUGUACUUU
rnacentral:misc_RNA from 1 species